rnacentral:misc_RNA from 1 species
GGGAGGCAGCCGGCCACGGUAGGGUCAGCGACUGGGGUGAAGUCGUAACAAGGUAGCCGUAGGGGAACCUGCGGCUGGAUCACCUCCUUUCUAAGGAUGGUUCUUCAGAAGCUUGCUUCUAUCGAACCGUUUUAGAAACAUCAGUGGCCAACGAUCGUCAGGAUUGUUGAGCUGCAUUGGCGGGAUUUCGCCGUCUUCGUUUCUCUUUCUUCGCGGACGAACACGCGCUGGGGCUGCAAGCUUGCAGAAUCCCUGGUCCUUGACUGGAUAUGCGUUAGGGGCUUGUAGCUCAGUUGGUUAGAGCGCGCGCUUGAUAAGCGUGAGGUCGGAAGUUCAAGUCUUCCCAGGCCCACCACACUCAUCGAGUGAGCAUUCGUCUUCUGGUUACGGGGCCAUAGCUCAGCUGGGAGAGCGCGUGCUUUGCAAGCAUGAGGUCGUCGGUUCGAUCCCGUCUGGCUCCACCAGAUGGUUUGAUCAUCGACUGAUCGUGCACCUAAAUCGUCCGCGAAACAUCACUUCGCACUUACUAGUCCGGAUGGACAGUAAGCUGCGUGAUUUCUGAAUCGUAAGAGGAGACGAUCCAGUUGGAUCGGGCAACAACAAUUGUUGCGCGAUACUUCUUAUCUCCGGAUCAUUUCGGCGCUCGUGCGCCUUUAAUGUAGCUCACAAGGCUGCUCUGAGAGAAUGCGAGUUGUAAUGAUCUUUUAGCGAAGCUUGACGCCUCGCUACGGAACGAUCUUACA